rnacentral:miRNA from 1 species
CACUGAGCCUGUAUAUAGAGGUGAAAAAAGACCCUCUAUAGGAGAAGUUAAACUGGUAGUUUAACUUCUCCUAUAGAGGGUCUUUUUUCACCUCUAUAU